rnacentral:rRNA from 1 species
UAGGGAAUCUUCGGCAAUGGGGGGAACCCUGACCGAGCAACGCCGCGUGAGUGAAGAAGGUUUUCGGAUCGUAAAGCUCUGUUGUUAAGGAAGAACGUGUGUGAGAGUGGAAAGUUCACACAGUGACGGUACUUAACCAGAAAGGGACGGCUAACUACGUGCCAGCAGCCGCGGUAAUACGUAGGUCCCGAGCGUUGUCCGGAUUUAUUGGGCGUAAAGCGAGCGCAGGCGGUUAGAUAAGUCUGAAGUGAAAGGCAGUGGCUCAACCAUUGUAGGCUUUGGAAACUGUUUAACUUGAGUGCAGAAGGGGAGAGUGGAAUUCCAUGUGUAGCGGUGAAAUGCGUAGAUAUAUGGAGGAACACCGGUGGCGAAAGCGGCUCUCUGGUCUGUAACUGACGCUGAGGCUCGAAAGCGUGGGGAGCGAACAGGAUUAGAUACCCUGGUAGUCCACGCCGUAAACGAUGAGUGCUAGGUGUUAGGUCCUUUCCGGGACUUAGUGCCGCAGUUAACGCAUUAAGCACUCCGCCUGGGGAGUACGACCGCAAGGUUG